AUUGAACGCUGGCGGCAUGCUUUACACAUGCAAGUCGAACGGCAGCGCGGGGCAACCUGGCGGCGAGUGGCGAACGGGUGAGUAAUACAUCGGAACGUACCCAGAAGUGGGGGAUAACGUAGCGAAAGUUACGCUAAUACCGCAUACGAUCUACGGAUGAAAGUGGGGGACCUUCGGGCCUCAUGCUUUUGGAGCGGCCG
rnacentral:rRNA from 1 species